UCUAGUACUACAUUUUUAAAAAACAGCCAUCCUUUUUCUGUGGAUGUUUUCUCUAUUUUACUCCAAUCUACUUCUUUAGUCUCUGUUUCAUACCUUUGUAGUUUGCUUUUUUAAAAUUGUAAACCUUAGCUUUAGUCAUUACUUUUGCGGUUUUAAAAAAUAUUUCAAAUGAGACCAUGUUGUGGUCUGAGUUUGCCAAUGGCUCUCUGACCUCUGUUUUAGUUAUUCUGUCUUCAUUAUUUGAAAAGAUCAAGUCAAGGCAUGCCUCCUCUCUAGUCGGUGCCUUGACAAAUUGCGUUAGGAAGCAGUUAUUUGUCAUUUCCACCAUUUCAAUUUCGUCCGUCGUGCCCCCCAUCGGGUUUUCCCAUUUUAUACGGGGGAAGUUGAAAUCCCCCAUUAGUAUGUCUUCUCCUUUUCUACACGCAUUUCGAAUGUCAUUGUACAACAGAUUAUUUUGCUCAGCGUUUGAAUUUGGCGGUCUAUAGCAUGCUCCUAUUAUGCCCUUUGAAUUUGUGUCCAUUAUUCUGACCCAUAUUGAUUCUGCAUUGUGUUCUUUGUCCUGAUUUAACACCUGGGCUUCAAGACUAUUUCUUAUGUAUAACGCUACCCCUCUGCCUCUUCUGUCCUGCCUGUCUUUCCUUUAUAGUGUGUACCCACUAAUAUUAUAUUUGUCUCCAUCACUCUCAGACAACCAAGUUUCUGUAACACCUAUCACAUCGUAGUUACUUGUUAGUGCAGUAGCUUCAAGUUCUAAUAUUUUGUUUCUGAGACUUCUAGCAUUAAGAUAAAUACAUUUAAUAGUGGUCUUACCUGAGUUGUUGCCCUUGUUUUGAUGUGGUCCCCCUUCUGUUUUUUUGUUUUCUCCCCCCUUCCUUUCUAGUUUAAGUGCUUCUGGACCGCCUGAAGGAUCCUUUCUCCGAGUAGAUUGGUUCCCUUUCUGUUUAAGAGCAGUCCGUCCCACCUGUAUAGAUAGUCCUUGUUGUAGAAAGUGCUCCAAUGUUCAAGAAAGGUGAAGCCUUCCUGUGUGCACCACGAUUUCAGCCAUGCAUUUUGAUUUUGUAUUUCCAGCUGUCCAUAUGGUCCUUUGCAGGGCGCCGGCAGUAUCCCAGAAAAUACCACAGUUUUGGUCUUGUCUUUUAAUUUCCUUCCUAGCUCUCUGAAUUUGUUUUGCAGGGAUCUUGGCCUGUCUCUACCAAUGUUUGUACCAAUGUGGACGACUACUACCGGGUCGUCUCCUGUUCGUUUUAGGAGCCUGUCCACAUUCUCAGUGAUGUGCUUGACUGAGGCUCCUGGAAGGCAGCACACUGUUGUAGUAAGGGGGUCCAAACUGCGAACUGAACUUACUGUGUUUCUCAGUAUGGAGUCCCCAACAAUUAUGACCUCCCUUCUUUUUGCUGCCUGGCCAGCACUGUUUAUAGGGUCCUGGGUGUUUCUUUCAUUCUCUUGAUGUUGGUGUUGGUUUUGGUCAUCUAAAUGUUGAAGUGGCUCAAUGUGGGUGAGUAGGGAAGCCUAUUAGAUUUACUACCAGUAUUUUAAAAAUUUACUCUACUAAACAUUUGAAUGGAUAACUUUUAUAGCAUUAACCUAAAAUGCAGGUAUGUUAGCUCCCUCAAGCCCCUUUCACAUUGGCACUUCUACCCGGGUCUGGACCGGGGUCCUGGCUACCCAGGUCACAAUCCUGUGUAGUGUGAAACCAUGCACCUGGGUCAUACCCGGGUCCCAGCGACCCACCUCAGGAUGUGGGUUGAUACACUUUGACCCGGGUUGAGCGAGACAAAAUGCAUGACGGCCAAUGAAAUAACAAACAGCCACGCCUGUGUGAAGGUUUCACUUCAGCAAGCAACGUUUUUGUUUAUUCAGUUUAGCCAUAUUUUUGUUGCUUGAGACACACCAUGAGCCAGAUUGCAGCAGGGAUGAAGAAACAUUUGCUCUAAUCAACAUUUGGGUCAACAGUUCAAUCCAGAGAAGCUUGGAUGGAAGCGUCUGUAACAAACUGCUUCCAGGGUAUUGAUACGCAAAUUGUGUACUUGUGUCUGUCACCCAGGUCAACCCUGCUUUAUCAAAACCAGUGUGAAAUCGCAUAGACAACCUGCAUGACACCGGGUCCUGACCUGGGUAGGCUCUGACCUGGGUAGAGCAUGCCAGUGUGAAAGGGGCUUUAGUAGAUUUUAAGGAUCUGAAUUGCUGAAUCUACGGUACUGUAGGAAAACUUGUGUAUUAUAAAUGUAUGUGUAUAAUAGGUUUAUAAUAAAUAUAUAUGCAGUCAAAAAAUGUUUAGCAAAUAAUACAAGGAUAUUUCUUAUGUAAUAUUUAUUUUUUUAUUCAUUUAUUUAGUAUUUGUGUAACACUAUGCCUCCUCCUUUCAUAUUUUUUGGUUGCCAAAUGAGGCUGGCUGCAGUUUUGAAGACUGAGUGAAAAUAGCCAGAGAGCAGAGGUGUUAAUAAGGAAGGCGAUCAGAGGAAGAAGAGCAGGGACAAUGGAUUUGAAGACGUCAGUAGUCUUCAUGCACACAGCUAGACAGUGUGUUAUUCUGGUUGGAAUGUUGCUCUGACUCAGCUUUGGCACACAGCGCCGUGGGAUCUUUCAAAUCAAGCACAGUAGUGAAGCAGGUGAUGCUGCAUAUAGGGGAUCAGAUGAUGCUGCGUAUACUACCCUGGCUUAGAAACCUUAUCCAUCCAGACGGCUGACAGCUGCUGAGGAAGCAUUCAACACCACGCUUGGGCAAAUACGGGUAGUGGGCACUUGAAAGGGAGGUGGCGGAUACUGAUGAAACAGACUGAAGUGCAGCAUUAGAUUGUUCCCAAAAUUGCCACUGCCUGCUGUAUCCUGCACAAACCUGUAAACAACAAAAUGAGGUGUUCAGGAAUCAGUGGCUGCCUGUGAGACAGCCAGACAGACAGGGAAGGUUACCAGUGUUACCAAGUAUCACGAAAAAAAAGCGGCACUGCCUUUCAAAACAAGCACAACCAAUGUUAGAGUAUGGGUGUUUAUGCAAGUUCCAACUAGCGACACUCAAACAAGCCAAAUUACGCUUAAUAUAAGUGGUCUUGGCAACUGUGAAAGUUACCUCAGCUGCCAGUUUCAAUUGGACAGCAGCGAUCUGAGGAGGCUCGUGCUGUCAGAGAAUCUCUCCUUUUUUAUAAGUUGGAUUUACUGUUAAAUAUUAAUGAUGCAAACAAA